CACGAAAAAUUGGCAAUUUGGCAUUCAUAUAUAUAUAUAUAUAAACAUUAAGAAAUUUAGAUAUAAUUUUCAUAUUACGAGAUAAAUAUUUAAUUAUUGGGUUACUAACUGUAGACUCGCCAUAACAUGGGCUUUUAAUGGUAGAAGAAAUACAUAGCCCAUUGCCCAUUAUAAUAAUCAAUUCUGACUAAAAACCCAAAUACCCAACCCAAAAGAAAAAGGCCCAUAACACACAAACAGUGGUAACUCGACCCGAACCAAAGUGACCCUGCAAGCAGAUGCCAUGCAGCAGCAUUAUACAACUCCAAAUUGAUGGGAAGCCCAUUUUGAAAUGAUCAGCUAAUGCGGCGGCAUAGAGUAAUCCCAUCACCAACAGGGAGCUGGCAAAUCUCGACCCUUGGAUCAGCAGCCAUGGCCUUGUUGAACUCCAACACAUAAUCCAGGUAGACCCUGAUAUAUUUCUUCAGUGGUGCAUCAGGGGGUGCCGCCACAGAACCAUUCCACAGGGUGUUGUCAUAGCCGAUGAGUCCUCCGACCUUCACAAGCUCAAUGGUCCUCUUGUGGUAGUUGAGGUAAUUGUCUUUGUCAGCAUCCACAAAGAUAAAAUCAAACGUUCCGUGGUAUUUUCCAUCUUGGAUCAAUUGAUCAAGAACAGGAAGAGCAGGGCCUUCUCUGAAGUCAAUCUUGUGAGCAACACCAGCUUUUUCAAUUACAGGUAGACCCAAUUCAUAGUUUUCACGAUUGAUGUCCAUGGCCAAUAUCUUGCCAUCAUCAGGAAGAGCAAGAGC
rnacentral:misc_RNA from 1 species